AGAGUUUGAUCCUGGCUCAGGAUGAACGCUAGCUACAGGCUUAACACAUGCAAGUCGAGGGGCAGCAUGAAAGGAACUUCGGUUCUUUUUGAUGGCGACCGGCGCACGGGUGCGUAACGCGUAUCGAACCUGCCUCAUACUCGGGGAUAGCCUUGCGAAAGUAAGAUUAAUACCCGGCGGUCUCGGACGGCCGCAUGACAGUCCGAGUGAAGAUUUAUCGGUAUGAGAUGGCGAUGCGUCCCAUUAGCUUGUUGGUGAGGUAACGGCUCACCAAGGCAUCGAUGGGUAGGGGUUCUGAGAGGAAGGUCCCCCACAUUGGAACUGAGACACGGUCCAAACUCCUACGGGAGGCAGCAGUGAGGAAUAUUGGUCAAUGGACGAAAGUCUGAACCAGCCAAGUAGCGUGCAGGACGACGGCCCUCUGGGUUGUAAACUGCUUUUAGUUGGGAAUAAAAAGAGGGACGUGUCCCUUAUUGUAUGUACCAUCAGAAAAAGGACCGGCUAAUUCCGUGCCAGCAGCCGCGGUAAUACGGAAGGUCCAGGCGUUAUCCGGAUUUAUUGGGUUUAAAGGGAGCGCAGGCGGCGGCGUAAGUCAGUUGUGAAAUCGUGCGGCUUAACCGUGCAAUUGCAGUUGAUACUGCGUCGCUUGAGUGCACACAGGGAUGUUGGAAUUCAUGGUGUAGCGGUGAAAUGCUUAGAUAUCAUGAAGAACUCCGAUCGCGAAGGCAUAUGUCCGGAGUGCAACUGACGCUGAGGCUCGAAAGUGUGGGUAUCAAACAGGAUUAGAUACCCUGGUAGUCCACACAGUAAACGAUGAAUACUCGCGGUUGGUUCGUUAGAGUCAGCCGCCAAGCGAAAGCGUUAAGUAUUCCACCUGGGGAGUACGCCGGCAACGGUGAAACUCAAAGGAAUUGACGGGGGC
rnacentral:rRNA from 1 species